GGAGGCGGAACCGCCGGCUGGGCGCGGGCAUCGCUUCCCACUGCGCGGAGGCCCGGGUGGGUCUGCGGGGGCUGGGGUGCCUCGCGCCCGGGGUGCGCGCCCCGGCGGCCCCGCCAUGCGCCCCCCGCGCCCCCACGCCUCGCUGCUAGAGCUCCUGGGGGUGCUUCUGGCCGCGUCCCUCGCGGCCGCCGAGGCGCCGCACCUGGUGCGCGUGGACGCGGCCCGCGCGCUGGGGCCCCUGCGACCCUUCUGGAGGAGCACCGGCUUCUGUCCUCCCCUGCCGCACAGCCAGGCUCACCGGUAUGACCUCAGCUGGGACCAGCAGCUCAACCUGGCCUACGUGGGCGCCGUCCCUCAUGGUGGCAUCCAGCAGGUUCGGGCCCACUGGCUGCUGGGCCUUGUCACAGCCAGGAGGUCAGCUGGACAGGGACUGAGCUACAAUUUCACCCACUUGGAUCGAUACCUGGACCUUCUCAGGGAGAACCAGCUCCUCCCAGGCUUUGAGCUGAUGGGCAGCCCCUCUGGACACUUCACGGACUUUGAGGACAAGCAGCAGGUGUUCGAGUGGAGGAACCUGGUCUCGCUCCUGGCUAGGAGAUACGUUGGUAGGUACGGACUCAAGCACGUUUCCAAGUGGAAUUUUGAGACGUGGAACGAGCCGGACCACCACGACUUUGACAACGUGUCCAUGACCUUGCAAGGCUUCUUGAACUACUACGACGCCUGCUCCGAGGGUCUGCGAGCUGCCAGCCCAGCUCUGCGCCUGGGUGGUCCUGGCGACUCCUUCCAUGACCCACCACGCUCCCCAUUGUGCUGGGGCCUCCUGGCGCACUGUCACAACGGAACCAAUUUCUUCACCGGGGAGGUGGGCGUGCGGCUAGACUUCAUCGCCCUCCAUAAGAAGGGCGCGGGCAGCUCCAUCUACAUCCUGGAGCAGGAGGUGGCGGUGAUGCAGCAGAUACAGCGGCUCUUCCCCAAGUUCACGGACACCCCCAUUUACAACGACGAGGCUGACCCGCUGGUGGGCUGGUCUCUGCCACAGCCCUGGAGGGCCGAUGUGACCUACGCAGCCAUGGUUGUGAAGGUCAUCGCGCAGCACCAGAACCUGCUGGUGGCCAACACCAGCUCCUCCAUCCGCUACACGCUGCUGAGCAACGACAAUGCCUUCCUGAGUUACCACCCGCACCCCUUCUCCCAGCGCACGCUCACCGCACGCUUCCAGGUCAACAACACGCGCCCACCACACGUGCAGCUGCUGCGCAAGCCGGUGCUCACGGCCAUGGGGCUGCUGGCCCUGCUGGACAGCGAGCAGCUCUGGGCCGAGGUGUCGCAGGCCGGGAGGGUGCUGGACAGCAACCACACAGUGGGCGUCCUGGCCAGCGCCCACCGCCCCACCGGCCCCGCCGAUGCCUGGCGCGCCACGGUGCUGGUCUACGCGAGCGACGACACCCGCGCCCACGCCAACCGCAGCGUCCCCUUGAUCCUGAGCUUGCACGGGGUGCCCCCGGGCCCUGGGCUCGUCUUUGUCCAGCUCUACAUGGACAACUCCAUCUCCAGCCCCGACGGCGAGUGGCGGCGCCUGGGCCGGCCGGUCUUCCCCUCCGCCCAGCAGCUCCGGCGCAUGCGCGCGGCCGAGGACCCGGCGGCCGUGAGACCGCUGCCCUUCCCCCCCAGUGGCCGCCUGACGCUGAGCCCGGAGCUGCCCCUGCCCUCGCUCCUGCUGGUGCACGUCUGCGCGCGCCCCGAGGCGCCGCCCGGCCAGGUAUCACGGCUCCGCGCCCUGCCCUUGACCCGCGGGCAGCUGCUUUUGGUCUGGUCGGAUGAGCGCGUGGGCUCCAAGUGCGUGCCUGUGGGACUAUGAGAUCCAGUUCUGCCCGGAGGGUGGGGUGUACACACGCGUGGACAGGAAGCCUUCGACCUUUAACCUCUUCGUGUUCAGCCCAGACACGGCUGUUGUCUCUGGCUCCUACCGGGUCCGUGCCGUGGACUACUGGGCCCGGCCAGGCCCCUUCUCGAGCCCUGUGCGGUACCUGGAGGUCCCUGCCGGGUGAAGGCCACUGCUGCCCAGAGACUGAGCCGUGCCGACCAUGACCCUGGGUGGCCAGGAGCAGUGCUGGGCUGCACACCACUGGCCUCUCGGUCAGUCCAUCCCCUCUGUUUGUCCCUUCCUGCCCCCUCCCUCACCCCCUUAAAGUGCCUUUCCACACACAAUCUUGGGCAUGGCCUUCGUGGUGGGCACUGGGCAGAUGGCGGCCAGAGCAAGGCCAUGCCCGGCACCCGCAUUGGGGCCCUCUCCCCACCUGUGGGAACUGGGAGGGGCUGAGGGUGCAGUUGCCAAGGGGGGCAGCUGCUCUCCUGCCUGGGGUCUGGGCCUGUGCUGCAGGGGGGCUGCUGAGGCUGCGCUGGGCGGGGGUGACUUGGGGCAGGGCAGAGCCCAGAGGCCCCCACUUCCGAGGCCCAGCCGGGAUGCCCCCUGCCCCCGCCCCCUGCCAGGUGGGGGGAGGGGAGGGCCCCAGGCUGCAGGCCCAGGCUCAGUCAGGGACAGCUGGGGGCCGUGUAUGGAGAUGUGGGCAGGGCAGGGGGGCCUCCAGGGGUAGUGCAGAACCUUGGGGCCCCACCCUGGGGCAGGUGGGGCCAACGGAGAAAGGCGGGGAGAGGUCCCUUGGUGAGGCCACCUGUCCAAAACAGAGACCUUCAGCCCGGGUGCAGCCAGCCUGGGCUGCUGUGAGCAGAGUGGGGGCCGCAACCCCACUGUCCUCUGAACACGGCCUGACCUUAGGCGGGGGAGGCGCAGGCCUGGAAUGGCGGAUGGAAAGUCCAGUCAACCCUCUGUCCCCACUGAAACCUGCUGCCCCCGGUCCACACGGAAAACCCAGGACCACCAGGGCCACUGCUGCCUCACUCUGGGCAGGAGGCGUCAGUUUGGCUGUCCUUCCACGUUCCAAAGCCAGCUCUUGUGCCCCGUCCCCCUUGGUCGGAGGUCGGGGGGGGCUUCAGGGCUUGGUUCCCGGGGGGGGGCCGUCUGUCUCGAUGGGGCCCUGUGUUACCAUAUGGGGGCCCCCAGGUUCUGGGCCUUGUCUUCCUGCCUCGUCCCGCAGCUCUGCCGGAGGGGCCCAGGGGUGAAGCGUCCCAGGCCCUGUAGCUCCAGCGCGCACUCUGCCCCUGACCUGCUGAGGCUGCAGUCCGAGGUCAGGGCUGCGGCAGGGGGCUUCCUCCUGGGGUCCCGCCUUGGCCCGCAGACGGCCACCUCCUCCCUGCGCCCCGACGUGGCCCUUCUUCUGCGCCUGUGUCCUAACCUCUGGUGAGGACACCAGCCCCGUGGGUUGGGGCCCACCCAGACGACCUCGUUUGAAUCACUUCUUUAAAGGCCACGUCACCCAAUACCAUCACUUUCUGAGGGCCUGGGGGGCAGAAGGUCCGCGUGCAAAUUUGGGGGAUCCAGUUCAGCCCAUAGCGAGCACUGUGGGUGGCGAGGGUGCUCAUCACCGCACCCAUAAAGCAGCCUCCUGUCUGGGCCCAACAGCUGCGCCCUGGAGACAGAUUCACCGCAAGGUGCCAGUGCACAGCGCGGGAGCCCGUCCCACCUCCCGCAUCCACCACAGCAGAAAACAGGGAAGCACAUUUACGGUUUAUGUGUAUUUCAAACCGCAUCACUACGCUGUGCGCUGGAAGCUAACACCGUGUAAAUCACCUGUACUUCAAUACAAUUUGUUAAAGUUU